AUUUUUCGGUUGAUCCUGCCGGACCUGACUGCUAUCGGAUUGGUACUAAGCCAUGCGAGUCAUUGUACAAUACAAGGCGGACGGCUCAGUAACACGUAGUCAACCUAACUCGUGGACGUGGAUAACCUCGGGAAACUGAGAAUAAACCGCGAUAGAUCAUUAUGCCUGGAAUGGCUUAUGGUCCAAAUAGUUUACUGCCAUGGGAUGGGACUGCGGCCUAUCAGCUUGUUGGUGAGGUAAUGGCCCACCAAGGCUAUAACAGGUACGGGCUCUGAGAGGAGAAGCCCGGAGAUGGGUACUGAGACACGGACCCAGGCCCUAUGGGGCGCAGCAGGCGAGAAACCUUAGCAAUGUGCGAAAGCACGACUGGGUCAGUCCGAGUGAUUCCUGAUAAAGGAGUCUUUUGCUUGUCCUAAAAGCACAGGUGAAUAAGGGGUGGGCAAGUCUGGUGUCAGCCGCCGCGGUAAUACCAGCACCUCGAGUGGUCAGGACGUUUAUUGGGCCUAAAGCAUCCGUAGCCGGCUCUGCAAGUCUUCGGUUAAAUCCACCUGCUCAACAGAUGGGCCGCUGGAGAUACUACAGAGCUAGGGAGUGGGAGAGGCAGA
rnacentral:rRNA from 1 species